GGAAAAUAAAAGGAACUCUUUGCUGCUCUCUUACUAUGGUCUGAACAACAUAAAACUUUCAAACCCUUCUAACAUUUUCUUGUCAGAAGCAGUACUGCACCCGCUUUAUACAGAGAAAAACUGUACUGACUUUAAGAAGGCGAAGAUUGAUGGUUUUUAAUUAAACCUGAGAGGACCUGGCUCAUCAGCAGCCUCUAAAACGGCAAGUAGACAGACGGAAUGGAUUAUUUACCUGUUCUACAGAUCAUUCACAUUAA
rnacentral:misc_RNA from 1 species